UUGAACGCUAGCGGGAUGCUUUACACCUGCAAGUCGAACGGCAGCGCGGACUUCGGUCUGGCGGCGAGUGGCGAACGGGUGAGUAAUGUAUCGGAACGUGCCCAGUAGCGGGGGAUAACUACGCGAACGCGUAGCUAAUACCGCAUACGCCCUACGGGGGAAAGCAGGGGAUCGUAAGACCUUGCACUAUUGGAGCGGCCGAUAUCGGAUUAGCUAGUUGGUGAGGUAACGGCUCACCAAGGCGACGAUCCGUAGCUGGUUUGAGAGGACGACCAGCCACACUGGGACUGAGACACGGCCCAGACUCCUACGGGAGGCAGCAGUGGGGAAUUUUGGACAAUGGGGGCAACCCUGAUCCAGCCAUCCCGCGUGUGCGAUGAAGGCCUUCGGGUUGUAAAGCACUUUUGGCAGGAAAGAAACGUCGCGGGCUAAUACCCCGUGGAACUGACGGUACCUGCAGAAUAAGCACCGGCUAACUACGUG
rnacentral:rRNA from 1 species